GGGUGCGCCUAUUGUCGGGCUGAUUCCGUGCUAAAUCCUUGGUAAAAAGGACAGAAUAACCUCAAUAAUCACAUCCAAGCAACAAACCAACACGGAAAGAGAGGUUCGAGGCUUACCUAACCAUAACCCAUGAAGAACUCGCCGGAGGUUCUUGGGGUUUCGUCGAGUUGCGCAGCGACAGGAGAGAGAGAAAGAGAGAGAGAGAGACGACGGCGUGUAGAAGGUGAUGACGAUGCCGUCGACGGAGUACCACGAAGGGUGUGCGUGGGUGCUCUCGGGUGUGGGUCAAAG
rnacentral:lncRNA from 1 species